UACGUAGGGGGCAAGCGUUGUCCGGAAUCAUUGGGCGUAAAGCGCGUGUAGGCGGUUCGAUAAGUCUGCUGUGAAAGUCCAGGCUCAACCCUGGGAUGCCGGUGGAUACUGUCGGGCUCGAGUCCGGAAGAGGCGAGUGGAAUUCCUGGUGUAGCGGUGAAAUGCGCAGAUAUCAGGAGGAACACCGAUGGCGAAGGCAGCUCGCUGGGACGGUACUGACGCUGGAGGCGCGAAAGCGUGGGGAGCAAACAGG
rnacentral:rRNA from 1 species